rnacentral:misc_RNA from 1 species
AAUUCUCAACCACAUAGAAAUGUGGCUUUGGAUGUUGGGGGUUUUAUUUGCUGGUCCUUUAGAAAUGAAGUUCAGCUCCCCUGAAAUGAAUUAGUGGUGGUAAAUCAAAGUCUUCUACCACAGGUGUGAUAAUUAUCUACGCCUUGGUGUAAAAAAGACACUGCUUCUAACUAAUAUAAUAAUAUUGACAA